AUUCCAUCAGAUGGAAGCUGUCCGUGUUUUUUCUCUAAAUGAUUGGGAGGCAUCUGGCACAGAUGGAACUUCUUAUGCUGCUGAUGACUUGAAGAAAUGCUUAGAAGGUUUGGCAAGGCAUUUAUUUGGUGCUGUGGAAAUGCGCUGGGUUGAUGCGUAUUUCCCAUUUACGAACCCAUCAUUUGAACUCGAGAUUUUCUUUCAGGAGAAAUG
rnacentral:misc_RNA from 1 species